GGUGGCUCAGCGGUACAGUGCAUGCCUUGCAAGCAUGAGGCCCUGGGUUCGAUUCCUCAGCACCG
rfam:Dipodomys ordii contig_12745, whole genome shotgun sequence.